CUCUGAAGCGGCGCUCUCCGCCAAGGGGGCGUGGCGUGGAGAGGGGAGCCAAUCGGUCUCGGAGUGGCCGCGGGAGGCGGGACUUCCGCUCUCGCGUGGGCGCCUCGGCCUCCUGGGCAGCCGGGCUGCCGGGGCAGUGAAGAAAGGUGUGAGGAGGGGGCGGGCCCGAAGGACCGAGGAGGGCGGUAAGCGGCGGUGAAGAGGGGAUGCUUGGGGGCGCCGUGGGGACGCUCGGGUCAUAGAGGGGGCGCAGGGCCCCCAGCGCAGCAGGUCCCCCUCCGGUCCUAUGCCUCUGCUUUUCCAACCUGGCAAGGUCUGCAGUUAGACAGCCGGGCUCCGAUGGCCCGACGCUACGAAUGGCGGGCUCAGCGCGCUGGUUUUCCUCCGGCUCUAGAGAAGAUGGCACUGCCGGCUUGGAGCUGGAUGGGUUAGAACUGCGUGUGAACACGUGUGAAGAUAACAGUUUUACUCUUCAAGAUGGAAAAUAAAGCAAAAUAAUACUUUUCUCCCCAUCGGAUCAGCAAUGUCACGUGUGGGCCACGAUGUGAGGAACAGCUCUUUGGGAGGGAGGUUGGACAGCCUAAUAAUCCCGUGUCUUCUUUAGUCUGGAGAAGUUGUCAGAAAAAAGCUCAAGGAAAUCACUGUAGCAUUGCAGUGAUGGUGAAAGUGGUGAAGCCGCCUAGACCCGGGAUAGGGUGCCAUUAAAUCAACCAGGUUUAGGCAGCCCCUUCAGUCAAUGAGGUAAACUGGGAACAAUACUGACCUGAGAAGACAAAUGACAGUACAGUUAUACCCAGUGUAACUUUAACAGGAAUGCUUUAUAAUUUUAAUUCGUUUCAUUCUAGAUUUGUAUGUAGAAUGUGUGCACAGGAUAAAGUCUGGAAGGAUGCUCACCAAAUGGACAGCAUGAUUUCCUUUGGGCAUGGAGAGUGGUGUUCUCAUUGAUAACAUUUUCCCAAGAACAUAUUCACACAUGACAUGUAGUUAACAAAAGUUUAGCAUAUGGGCUUCCCUAGUGGCUCAGUGGUAAAGAAUCCACCCGCCAAUGUAGGAGACAUGGGUUUAACCCCUGGUUGGGGAAGAUUCCACAUGCCAUGGAGCAACCAAGCCCAUGUGUCACAGUUACUGAGCCUGUAGAGCCUGGGAGCCCAAGAGCCUGUGCUCCGCAACAAGAGAAGCCACUUCAGUGAGAAACCCGCACACCACAACUAGAGAGUAGCUCCUUCUCCCUGCAACCAGAGAAAAGCCUGCACAGCAACAAAGACCCAGCACAGCCAAAAAUAGAUAAACAAAAAAAUUUUUAAAGUCCAGCAUAAAUGUACAAUGCAGCAAUUCCUCUCCUAGAGAAAUGAAAACAUACUCCUAUACAAAAAUAGCGUAUGAAUGUUCACAGCAGCAUUACUCACAGUAACCAAAAGAUGUAAACAAACAUCUAUCAGCAAAUCAACGGAUAAACAAGAUGUGGCGUAACCACACAACAGAUUUUCAUUCGGAAAAAGGAGUAAAGUGCUGAUGCCUGCUAUAUUUAUAUGAAACAUCCAGAAUAGGCAAGUUCACAGAAAGUAAUCAGUGGGUGCCGGGACCUGGGGGAGGGGAAAUGGUGAGAGCCUGCUUACUGGGCACAACGUCUCUUUGGGAUAAUGAAAACGUUCUAACAGUGGGGAUGGUUAUAUUACUUGGUAAAGCUAUUAAAAAUCCAGUGACUGUAGGGACUUCCCUGGUGGUCCAGUGACAAGGACUCUGCGCUCCAAUGCAGAGGGCCUGGGUUCGAUCCCUGGUCAGGGAACUAGGUCCCACAUGCUGCAACUAAGAUCCAGCGCGGCCAAAUAACAAAUAUUUUGUAAAACUCAAGAAUUGUACAUUUGAAAUGGGUGAAUUUUGUAAUAUGUAAAGUAUGCCUUAAUAAAGACAUUGAAAACAAUAA